rnacentral:rRNA from 1 species
UACGUAGGUGGCAAGCGUUAUCCGGAUUUAUUGGGCGUAAAGAGAACGCAGGCGGUCUUUUAAGUCUGAUGUGAAAGCCUUCGGCUUAACCGGAGUAGUGCAUUGGAAACUGGGAGACUUGAGUGCAGAAGAGGAGAGUAGAACUCCAUGUGUAGCGGUGAAAUGCGUAGAUAUAUGGGAGAACACCAGUGGCGAAAGCGGCUCUCUGGUCUGUAACUGACGCUGAGGUUCGAAAGCGUGGGUAGCAAACAGG